GUACUGUUACAAUUAUGGAACUUGGCUUUGUUUAUAAUUGUUUAUGUGGCUCGGCUACAAUACAAAGCACACAUACAAUAAGUUGCGACUUGAAUAUAAUGGCAUUUGUGUCUGAGGAAUCAUGUAGAAUGGCAUUGCUAAUUUUCAAAUUAUUUUUUGAUAUAAUUAAAGAUUUUAGAUGGCUUUAGUAUGUCACAUUCUAAUUUAUAUCUUAGACAAUUCUACAUUCGUAUUCAUGUGGAACCCUAUUACGUACUGAUUAAGGUGGUAGAACACUAAUUUGACAUGCAGUUAUGAUUAAAAGCAUGAUGUUUGUGAUUCUAUGCAUGGCUGCUUGACAGUAGGCCACCCUGCAUUAAGUGUAACUGGUACCCAGUUAAAGGUGCAUAGAAUUCCUAACCUAAUAUAUUUCAGAGUGAUGGUUAAAGGUGCAUAGAAUUCCUAACCUAAUAUUUUCAGAGUGAUGUUUUUCCUUUUUCUUUUCUUUUCUUUUCUUUUUGCAGCUACAUCAAGAGAUGAAUGAAAAGGAAGAAUCUCCUUUUCUUUUCUUUCUUUUUUCUUUUUUGCAGCCACAUCAAGAGAUGAAUGAAAGGGAAGAAUCUCAGUCUCUGCUCCAACCUGGGAUAAACUGUCAGAUCUUUGCUGGAGACGUUUGCCAGAAGGACCCUCCAGGAGCUACCACUUUACCUGAGGAAUGUGACCAAUUUAUGGGUUUGGAUUCAGAAGUAACUGGAUUUCUAGAGACAGGAGAUGAGCAUAUAGUAAAUUAUGAUGGUGAAGACACUCCCGAAAUAAGUCUUCUUUCAAAUGUGAAUGCAUCCGAGGUAUCAUCAAAGGAUUCAGUACGAAAAGAUAAAGAAAUGGAAGAAGUUUUUGAAAAUAUCAGGAUGACCAGUGAUGACAAAGACAUGGCAGACGUCAUCCCAUCUGUGGAAACAAUGGUAUUUGGUAUAACUGAAAAUGGAAAGAUGGCUGAAAAUACUGAAGAUAAACACUUAAUGGAAUUACUCAGUGAUUCUGAGACUUUCCAAGUGCUUGACAUGUUGGAAUAUCAAGAUGAUACUUUUUCUGUGCAUAUCUGUGUAAGUGAAGAAAACAGUGCCCUGCCAGUAGAGCUUCUCUCAGCACUGAAUUCUUUGUCAGAAUCUGUGGAAGCAUCUACCAUUUCUCAUCUAGUGGAAGAAGGGAGUGGCCAUAGCAUGGCAAAGAAAGAGCUGCCAGCAGACAAAAGUGUUAACGAUUACACACAUGUAAAACAAACAGAUUUAAAAUCUCAGUUUCAUUUGCAAGGCUUCAAAGAAACUGAAGCUUUAACAGCAGUCAGGACACCACAUUCUUCAGAGGAACAAGUAUGUAUGCUUUAAAAUUAAAAUGCUAGAUAUAUUUAAAACAUCUUAUGGUCCAGAUGACAUUUUCUUCUUAAUCAUAUUGGUUGGUUUGUACUGUGGAUGGGCACAAACUGCUGAACCAGCGGUUUGUGCUGGCUUGUUUCUCAGCUCAACAGGCGUUCAGCACCUCCCAGCCCUAACUCCUCCAGUGGGUGCCCCACUCAGAGGCAGCACCCUGGCUUUCUUGCCUUGCCUCCUCUGGGCACUGCCUCUGAGUGGGCACCUGCUGGAGGAGGCGGGACUGGGAAACACUGGACAUUCUCUGUACAUCUUGACAGCAAAAUACAUAUCAGAAGCAGGACUGCCUUAGACUGUACUACUAUAGUAGACAG
ensembl:lncRNA